rnacentral:lncRNA from 1 species
AUAUUUUCUCAUCUGCUGAGGAGCUACAUAUCACAGUAGAUGAGCAAUCCUCAUGACAUCCAGUCUCUCCGGCUCUAUUCCACACUAAGAAUCCUGUAGUGAUUUAGCAUCUUUGUUUGCAAGCUUGGCUUAGGGCGCCUGGACAUUUUGAAAAGAGAUAUGGUAUUAACAACAGUGAGUUCAUUGCCUUAGGAAACUGCAGUUGCACCUGAGAGAAGACAGAAGCCAACCUGGAAGAAAAAGAAAAGAGAAAUAUAAUGGCCUUGCUAGAGGGAAA